rnacentral:rRNA from 1 species
UACGAAGGGGGCUAGCGUUGCUCGGAAUCACUGGGCGUAAAGCGCGCGUAGGCGGAUUGCUAAGUCAGGGGUGAAAUCCUGGAGCUCAACUCCAGAACUGCCUUUGAUACUGGCGGUCUCGAGUCCGGGAGAGGUGAGUGGAACUGCGAGUGUAGAGGUGAAAUUCGUAGAUAUUCGCAAGAACACCAGUGGCGAAGGCGGCUCACUGGCCCGGUACUGACGCUGAGGUGCGAAAGCGUGGGGAGCAAACAGG